GGGAGCCAAUAUGGGAUUAAGAGGUAGAAUAACCUGGCUUGACCUGUAUGCAUGUAUCAUGAAGCCCAUUAGAGAACCCCAGCUCACUGUUCUCAUGAGCCAUUUAAAGUAAUGUGGCAGCUAUAUCAGCUUUUGAGAGGCAGUGAAUAGGAUGACUCUUUGCUGCACCAAAAAUUCCUGCUGGAGUAGGAUCAAUAAGGAAAGGAAAGGAAUAUAUUAAUUAGACCACUUUUAUUACCCAUCAGGAGAUACUUGUGCUAGGAGUAGGUCCAACAGAAAAAAAAAAGGUUAUAUUUUUGUCAUUGGCUUUUCAGAGAAAAAAAAAUGAGAAUAAAGCAAUUCACACAGCUAUAUGGACAUUUAGAAGGGGAAGAGGAACUUCUGUUUCUCGCUGAACUUUGAGACAGUAUGAUAUACUUUCAUCAGAAAUUAUAUCAUCGCUGCGUUAUCUUGAACCCUCCAUUGUGGAAUGCUGAUAAUGUUUCUAGGUUUUGUUCUGUGGCUUUGACCUGAUUUCCUUCAUACUUUCUCAAAACAAAGCCAUCUACUCCCAACAGAAUUUUUUAACCUUUACAAAUGUGGUAUUAUAAAUCACUUAGGGUUUAGCUAAUGUUAGUGCUUUGAGAAAGACCUUUUUUGUGCUUUCCAGCACCAUUCAUAGGAUCAUAUAACCCUUUGUCUGGCUUAUGUAAUUUAGAUCAAUGCAAAUGGUUUCAGCUACUUUUGCUUUUCAUGCCAUUCUUAGAACCAAAAGUAUGUAACAGGUACUUAUCCCAGAAUGUCAGGUAGACUUCUCUGUACUAUUCUGGAAGAGAUUAAAAUGUUAUUUCUUAUUGCAUCUACUACUAAGUGACAUCUCUGCCUCUCUGUACAUUUUAAAAACCAUAGACCAUAUUCUUAACUUCCUGUCUAUGAAGAAAUAAAUAUUCUAAAUUAAAGCCAGCAUUGCAAGUUCACAAGGUGAAACAUAUGAUACAAAAGAAAUGCAGCUUUAUAUUCAUAGGUUUUACGUGUAGAAAAAAUAGAGCAAGAUGCAAGGUAAGCCACUGUUAGACAUGCCAUAAACUGUUCAUUUAAGUGGCAAAGAAUAGUGCCUCACUUCUUGAGCAUCUUAUAUGUCUUUGACUACAAGAGCACUGCUUUCUGGACUAUUAAAAGGAUUUUACUGUCUUGAACUGCCUGAUUGAUUGCCCCAAAAUGAUCAACUGUGAAUAGUCUCCGAAGCAGCUGAGGAAAUAUUACCAUAUUUAUCAAGUAGCAGUUCUGUGGCCUUCUAGGGUUGAGUACUAGGCAGUAGUCACAGGUCUUUCCUGUCUUUUCCCAGCUGCGCUCAGAGGCAAACUUUGACUCUUCAUUCAUUCCUGAGAAGGAUAUGCCUCUUGUAGAAAAGUAGUGUUGGGGAAGAGCUUGCAAAAUUGCAUGCCCUACACCCUGCAUAUGCUAUGAAGCUGAGCUCUGCAGAGCAUGGACAUACUGUGGUACACCUCCGUAACAGGAACUGGCAGAGCCACAAAGACAUUGCCACUGUAUAAAUCAUGUGCUUGUCCUACUGUGACAAGGGCUAUGCUAAGGCUUGCAGAGCACUACUUCAGCCACUAGAUCAAACAAUGCCUUUCUGUCCAUCACAUCAAGAAUUUAGUCUGUGUUGACAAUGCAAAGACCACAAGCUGCAUUAAAGGUAAGAACAGAAGGUGCUGCUUGAGACAGCUUAUAAUGAAAAAGCUGCAGAUGACCACCCACAACCAGGAAUAAUCAAACAAAUCACAAGUAUUAUUAAAUUUAACUUAGAUUUAUUUACCAAACACAACUAAUGGGCAGCAUGUGUAAAAUAGGACCUGUGUUUUCCUUUUGUUGCUACAAGCUGGUGGAUUUCAGCAGCGUCUACUAAAAGGUGGAUCCAACGAAUCAAAGUUUUUAUAUC